rnacentral:lncRNA from 1 species
AAAUCCGAAGUGGAUCUGCCACAUUGGGCCUCAAAACCACCGCGCAGGCAUAUUUGCCGGUUUAGGCCUCAAAACUGGGGGCGAGUUUGGUGCGGCCGGACGGUGUUGAGUCGGAGGACGCGUGGCACCAUUGCGAAGCUUGUGUCAAGGCGAAGCUAAGUCGUGAAGGCACCGGGUCCGUCCGAUGAACGAAGAAAAAGUUGGACAGGUUUGCCUCUAGGGGGUUUG